CUAGAGUACAAUGGUGCGAUCUCGGCUCACUGCAACCUCUGUCUCCCGGAUUCAAGCAAUUCUCCUGCCUCAGCCUUCCAAGUAGCUGGGAUUACAGGCACCCACUACUAUGCCCAGAUAACUUUUGCCUUUUUUAGUAGAGAUGGGGUUUCACCACAUUGGCCAGGAUUGUCUUGAACUCCUGACCUCAGAUGAUUCACCCGCCUCUGCCUCCCAAAGUGCUGGGAUUAUAGGCGUGAGCCACUGCAACUGGCUAAGGUUUUAUAAAUGGAGGAAAAAAUCCCAAAACUGUUCCUUGGAUGUUAACCUCCAAUUCCAGUACUGGAUAGUUCCACUGCAGGGUGGUCACAUGCCCGGAAUGGGGCAGCACAAGAGAAGGCACCGUGCAAAGGUCACCAGACCUUGGUUUUAGAAGGAUGGUCAGUUUAGGAACAACAUUUUGGAGUAAGUGUUGUCUUAGAUGAGAAAUUAGGAAUUAGUAGAACAGGUGAUGGCAUGGAGAUUGGGAAAAGAGUACUCUAGGUAGAGGAAGCAGUUUGUGCAAAAGUCCAGCAGGAAGAAAGUACAGGCAUUCUGAAAAGACGAACGGAGUUCCCUGAGACUGAGCAUGAAUAUGGGGAGAACCAGAACCACGCUGGAGAAGCAAGGCCUAAGACGUCCUGUGAGCACACAGCAAGAUGGCAGCUUCCCUACAAGCCAAGAGAAGAGGCUUCAGAAUGAAAUCUACCUUGCUGAAACCUUGCUUGAUCUUGGUCCUCUAGCCUCAAGAACUGUGAG
rnacentral:lncRNA from 1 species